CAUGGAGGGUGAGAAUCCCGUUCGGUUGAUCAUUUGCGUUUUACGAUACGCUCUCUAAGAGUCAAGUUGUUUGGGAUUGCAGCUUAAAAUGGGAGGUAAAUUUCUCCUAAGGCUAAAUAACGGCGAGAGACCGAUAGUGAACAAGUACCGUGAGGGAAAGAUGAAAAGAACUUUGAAAAGAGAGUUAAACAGUACGUGAAAUUGUUGAAAGGGAAACGAUUGAAGCCAGUCGUACCUUCGGGUAAUCAGCCUUUCGGGUGCGAUUCUGUGGGGUUUGAGGAGCUUAACACCUUCAUGCUUUGCAUAUUCGUGCUCUUGGGUGUACUUGCCCGUGUGGUUGGUUAACAUCAAUUUUGGUGGUCAUAAAAUGACUGGAGGAAUGUAGCUUCGAUCUCGUAUUGAAGUGUUAUAGCCUUCGGUAGAUGUGAUGAUCGAGAUUGAGGAUUGCAACGGAUACCCUUCGGGGCUACCUGUCUGGUCUCUGAUCGUUGCUUUGGUGCCGAAAGCUUGCUUACGGUUAUCAAAGUCGAUGGUCAAUAGGUUAGAACGGGUUAAAUUCGUUAAGGAUGUUGACGUAAUGG
rnacentral:rRNA from 1 species